rnacentral:rRNA from 1 species
CCUACGGGUGGCAGCAGUAGGGAAUUUUGCGCAAUGGAGGAAACUCUGACGCAGCAACGCCGCGUGAACGAUGAAGGCCUUCGGGGUGUAAAGUUCUGUAAGUGGGGACGAAACAAGACGGUACCCACAGAGUAAGCACCGGCUAACUCCGUGCCAGCAGCCGCGGUAAUACGGGGGGUGCAAGCGUUAUCCGGAAUUAUUGGGUGUAAAGGGUGCGUAGAUGGGAAGUGAAGUCGGGUGUGAAAGGCCUCGGCUUAACUGAGGAACUGCAAGGGAAACUGGCGGUCUUGAGUGCGGGAGAGGAAAGUGGAAUUCCUGGUGUAGCGGUGAAAUGCGUAGAUAUCAGGAGGAACACCAGUGGCGUAAGCGAUUUUCUGGGCAGUAACUGACGCUGAGGCACGAAAGUGGGGGUAGCAAACAGGAUUAGAUACCCUAGUAGUC